GUCGGAACACGGGAGACUUAGGGCUCGACAGUGACGAGUAUACGAGAUUGAAUUGUUCGAAACGUAAGGGAAAUGAAUUGGUUGUCGUUGCCUAUACGAAGAAGAAACUGGAUUCGCGUAUGCGACCGCUGUGAAACUGGAAUGGAGCGCCAUGGUUUAGGUUUCUCCGCCGCUGUUCGUCGGAAACUCCGGCACUCAGAACAGC
rnacentral:misc_RNA from 1 species